AUUGAACGCUGGCGGCAUGCUUUACACAUGCAAGUCGAACGGCAGCAUAGGUGCUUGCACCUGAUGGCGAGUGGCGAACGGGUGAGUAAUAUAUCGGAACAUGUCCGGAAGUGGGGGAUAACGUAGCGAAAGUUACGCUAAUACCGCAUAUGCCCUGAGGGGGAAAGGAGGGGAUCGCAAGACCUUUCGCUUUCGGAGUGGCCGAUAUCAGAUUAGCUAGUUGGUGGGGUAAAGGCCUACCAAGGCAACGAUCUGUAGCUGGUCUGAGAGGACGACCAGCCACACUGGGACUGAGACACGGCCCAGACUCCUACGGGUGGCUG
rnacentral:rRNA from 1 species